rnacentral:rRNA from 1 species
GACGAACGCUGGCGGCGUGCUUAACACAUGCAAGUCGAGGGGGCCCAGCAAUGGGUCACCGGCGAACGGGUGCGUAACACGUGAGCGACCUACCGAGUUGUGGGGAAUAGCCGGCCCAAC